rnacentral:rRNA from 1 species
UACGUAGGGUGCAAGCGUUACUCGGAAUUACUGGGCGUAAAGCGUGCGCAGGCGGUCUUGCAAGACAGAUGUGAAAUCCCCGGGCUUAACCUGGGAACUGCAUUUGUGACUGCAAGGCUGGAGUACGGUAGAGGGGGAUGGAAUUCCGCGUGUAGCGGUGAAAUGCGUAGAUAUCUGGAGGAAUACCGGUGGCGAAGGCGGCAUCCUGGACCGGCAUUGACGCUGAUGAGCGAAAGCUAGGGGAGCAAACGGG